CUCACCUUAUCAGUGCAAUCCCCUCAGCCUUCCACUGGCUGUCUCAUUGUAACUAAACCAGUCUUUAAGCCUCAGCUUACAUCUCAAAAACUACACAUCCCAGGAAGGGUUUUCUGAAUUGCUAUAUUACUGCUACAUGCUGCUUUUACUGUGGACUGGUGCUGCCAAAAACAUCUGCUUUGUUAUAGCACAAUAUUUGAUUGACAUAAACCCCAUGGAGAACUUCAUGAGUAUAGAUCUUCAAAGUUCAGCUCAAGCUGAUUUUGUUAAUAAAUGAAAACACUUUAGUUUAAGUUUAA